GGCUGAUCUAGGCUGGGCCAAGCUGGACUUGAGACUUUCAGUCAAGUUCAGACUCAGGUCUGUUCCUUGUGUGUUGCUUCUGAGGCCAUCCUGCACAUGGUCACCACACUCAUCCUUGAAAAUCAAGAGCUUCCUUCUGUCUCCCUCGGCCUGUUCUAUGCUCACUGUCACUGAUGUGAAGGCUUCAUCGUGUCCUCGUGUCUUUGGAGAGGCUGCCUCAGUCUAACUGGCUGUUCCAAUUCCCAAGAACUGAAGCUGAGACUUGGGAAUGUGCUAAGAGGAAACAGCCCUUGAGUACAGAGAGGAGAAAAGCUCUAAUUACUUCUGAAGGAAUCUCUGAAGAGCUAAAGAUCAACAAAUUGGAUGAGAAUGCUUCCUCUUCUUCUGUCUGCCAUAGGAAAACAAAAGCAGUUCUUCCCUCUUUUCCCCAAUACUCUCUCUGAGUCUUUCUCUGAGUCCUUCUGUCUUUCUCUCUCCUCAC
rnacentral:lncRNA from 1 species